CCAAACGGAAAGGGAACGGGCAGUCAAAGGAGGAAGCAAGAAAAAGCCCAGUUCCCUUUAGUUAGGACUUUGUCGUGCCUUGCAAUUCAGUGGAAAUGCCCCUAAUUUGGGAAACUAGAUCAUCUCAGAAAAAUAAGAAUUGAAUGCUUCAUUUCACUGUAAGCAAAGGUACACUUUAAAGUGACCUUUACAAAUUCAAACACAGAAAGGCUUUCUCUUACUGUGUAGAGAGCUGGAUGGUUCUUGUGCUAGAUUUCUUCCAUCUCAUUUUUUUUUCUCAAAGACUUCAAUUAUUUAUCAUGUAUACAAUGUUCUGCAUCUCUGUAUUCCUGCAGGCCAGAAGAGGGCAUCAGAUCCCAUUACAGAUGGUUGUGAGCCACCCUGUGGUUGCUGGGAAUUGAACUCAGGACCUCCAGAUACAGAGACGGUUAGAGAGUCAACUGCAACCCAAGCAUUUCGAGUUGAUCGAGUCGGGUCAUGAAGAAAGAGGAAGCCGCUGAAAGGAAAAGCUGACUGUUGUGAAAGUUGCUUUGAAAUACAAACUUCCCCAGGAUGCGUAGACUCAGGAUGAACUCUUCGGCUUCCAUCUCCAAGGGAACGCACAUCGCUCUGACUUCCGGUGACUCUGUGGUCAGGUGCUCCGGUCCCAACCACUUCACAAUACCUGCGAGAAAACGGCCUGGAACCAACUCUCUGUCAGCUGCCUCCGCUCUGGGAAGUAUUUGGUAGAGGCCUGAGAGUUUCUUUGUUCAACCUCAAAGUUGCCAUAAGUCCCUCGUGGGAUCACCUCUAUUCCGCAAAGCCCUACCUUGCUCUCUGUAGGAAAGCAGUUUAAAAUACUUUAAGUAGAAAUGGAUUCUAAUGGACACAUGGCCCAAUUAUGCUACUGGACAGGGAGAAAGAAGCUUUAGAAGGAGCGUCAUGGAGGCCCUUCUUGGAGUUUCUUGAAAACCUACAUGAAGAAAGACCUUGGAAGAGACAAGGAAAAAGUAAAACAAAACCCAUCCUAAGCAGGGCUCAGAGGUCAGCUCUGUCUCCUGGACUACACUUCUCUCUGAAGAAAACAACAGCAUUUUUCAAUCCAAGUUUCUUUUUUUUUUUUCCUUGAAGAUGAGAGUUAACUUCACAGACUCGAAAAAUCAGACCACACUGAAGCUCUCUGUCUGCAAAAAUAAUGGUUUUUCCUGACAUUUUCAAACUGCACAAUUUAACGACUCAAUGUUUCAUUUGACAUUUAAGAAGUCAUCCGUCUCCAAGAAGCUGAUUGGCAAGUCUUCAUGGUUCCAGGAAUUAGCAAAUACGUCGUGCAUGAGAACACAGCUACAACAGUCCAAAACACUCUUCAAAAAAAAAAGCAAGCCCGAGAUGGGUGGAGAAACCAAUUAUUACUUCUCUGGACUGGACUGCCACUUAGUUCCUAGUCCUGCCAGGAAGCUCUUUGUAAACCUAUUACUCUGAAAAGUUUGCACGGUCAUCUCAGGCAGCAGAAAGCCAGGUACCCAUGAGCAGGGUAGCCUGUUUUGGAAUCGUGGCUCCUCUACAAGAGGUGUGACUUGUGCGCACUAUUUAACCUCAUUAGUGGUUUCCUCAUUUCUACAGAUCCAACCCUGUUAGUUCUUAUCUUACUGGCUGAAGAGAAUUGAGUCGGUCAGUAUUUGUAAAGAGUUAGGGCACACAUUAUUAAUUGGAAGAUUCGAAAGGAGGCGCUUAGGAGAUAGUGCGGUCAGUAAAGAGCUCGCCGCGCAAGCGUGAGGGUGAGAGGUCUAUCCCCGGAACUCGACUAAAAAUAGCUGGACACAUUGGCACAUAUUUAUAAUCCCAGGGUUUAGGAUGUGGAGACAGAAGGAUCCCUGCAGCUCACUGGCUGGUCAUCCUAGCCAAAUCAGUGAGUUCCAGGUGAAAGCGACAGGACUCAUCUCCUAAAAUAACACAGAUGGUUAUGGAAUGACACCGAAGGUUGACCUGGCGCGCAUGCGCGUUGCACACACUCAUGCCACGCAUCGAAGCCGACGUGGGUCUUUUACUAACGUCUGUGAUCCAGUUGCAGUCAGAGGCAGGGUACUGUGAGCUUGCUCCUGGGAAAGAUAUAAUGAACCUUUUCUACCAGAUGGGACUUCUAAACGAUACAGAGCCUAGAACUCCCAUCCUUCCGGUCUAAGAGAAGAACCUGUUUGGGAAUAAAUGAAGCAGAACACACCCAGGGCAGAGAAGUCACAUUUGGUUGACAUUUUAAUUCCUGGAUCAUGCAACGCCUGAAGCUAGGCCUUCUAGAUUGCUCAGUUUAAUUUCUCAUUUUCCUUCAAUUACUUUAGGCUAGGACCGUUUGUUGUUUGUGAAUCACUCACUGUGUUUCAAUGCCCACAGUGCAGAGUAUGGGAGAAAUGAACGCGACAGUCUGCAACAGAAGCUAUAUAGAACUGGCAUUCCAGCACUACAAAUUUUAUUAUUAUUAUUAUUAUUAUUAUUAUUAUUAUUAUUAAUCUUUAUUAUUAUUCCUCAUCAGCAUUCAACAAGCUCUAAUCUGCAUUGUUAUUUUUUUAUGUUGGAAUUUUUUUAACAAUGUAAAAUUUUUAUUGGUUAUUUGGGAGUUGCACACCAUGCACCCAGUCACACUCGCUUCUGUCUGUCCCUGUGCACUGGUAUUUUUGUCGGGUCCCUUUGCUUCUUCUACUGGCCCUUACAAAUGUGGGAUUCAGCCAGAUAUGGCGGCGCACACCUUUAGUCUCAGCACUCCAGAGGCAGAGGCAGGUGGAUCUCUGUAAGUCUGAUGCUAGCUUGGUCUACAUAGUGAGUUCCAGGACAGCUAUAGAGUGAGACCUUGUCUCAAAUAAUAAUAUUAUAUCAUUAAUAAUAAUAAUAAUCGUCAUCAUCACCAUCUUUUUUAAAAAAGAUUUAUUUAUUUUAUUUAUUUAAGUACACUGUAGCUGUCUUCAGACACAUCAGAAGAGGGCAUCAGAUCACAUUACAGAUGGUUGUGAGCCACCAUGUGGUUGCUGGGAAUUGAACUCAGGACCUGUGGGAGAGCAGUCAGUGCUCUUAUCCACUGAACCAUCUCUCCAGCCCCAACAUCACCAUCUUUAUGGACUCUAAAAUUUUACGAGGAUACAUAAAAUUAUCAUUUCCUUGGCUAUAUUUAAUCUGUCUUUGUCUCUCUCUGUCUCUCUCUGACCCUAAGACAAGAUCUCAUGUAGCCCAAUCUGGCCUCAAACAUACUCUACAGCAGAGGGCAACCUGAAACUUCUAAUUCUCCCGGUCACACCUCCUGAGUUCUGGGAAGACACACAGGCAUCUACAGUAUGGUGCAGGGCAGGGAUCAAGCCCGGGGCUGCAUGUAAGCUGGGCUAGCACGCCACCCACUGAGCUACACUCCCAACUGCAAGAUUUCUCUCGAACUCACCUUCUCCCAUGGCUACCAAGCCAAGAAAAAUAAGUGGAAACUCAAUGGUUGAUUCGCUUGCUUGGCUUAUUUGCUUAUUAGGCAUCUCAGGGGAGGAGGCUGGAGGAGCACUGAUCUAGGAUUGACUUCACGGUUUCAAACAGUUCUGCUUCGGCCCCUGUAUCACAGCGACAGUGUGCGCCUCCACUUAUGUAGGAACGAUAUGUCAGGUUGGAAGGGACUGCAGAGACCUUCCUAGUCCAGGGGCUAGUCAGGUUCACAGCAAGGUUCCUGGUCAUUCUCUGUAGUGGGCUCACUCCAGACGGUGUCUAUGGUCCUUUCCAGCUUUGCCCAGCACACCCUUUGCCGUCCCAAGUAAUGGCUGCUUCAGGUGUUUGUGGGAGGGGAGGUAAAAUGGCGGAGCUACUCAUGUAAAAGAUACUUUAAAAAAAGAAAAAAGGGUGAGUGUCUGUCUGUCUUCCCUUAGUUACUGUCUUCAUGACUUAGUUACUCAGCUCAUGACUGAUGGCGGUAAGCUGCUUCUGAUCAGGCCAGACGUUUCUUCCAUCAAAACCUACAGACCAUGCCCAUGAUCUUUAGUCAUCCUAUAUGACUUUAGUCAAGCUUCUAAUGAAUUGGUGUCUUUACCUCCCAGGACCAGGCAUUUCCUAACAGGAUGCGGGAAUUGGUAGUAAAAAGGCCCUCAGCGGCCAGUGAGCACAAAGGGAAGAGGAAGACAUUUACAGUCUCGACAGUCCUCAGAGACACUUGCUGACUGGAUGCGGAGGAACUGGCUUUUAUCAAGCACUCGGAAGACAGACAGGCAGAUGUUGGAGUUUGAGGCCAGCCUAGUAUAAAUAGUAGGAGUGUGAAGAUGUAGAACUCAGCUCCUCCUACACCGUGCCUGUCUGGAUGCUGCCAUGCUCCUGCCUUGAUGAUAAUGGACUGAACCUCUGAACCUGAAACGGCAAUAGUGCGCCUGCCAAGACAGCAGCCAAAGGAAGCAGCCAGGGCCGGCCGACUAUAGACUCAAGCCAGAGAAAGCGGAGCCAAAGACAAUCUGACUGAAGGAGGACAGAGGACAGGAAGGUGAGGCUGGUGAGUGUCCAACACCAGGGACAUUUAACCUCUUAUUAUCAUGGCCUGUGGCUUUCCUGUGGCGUUUUUUGUUUAUUUAUUUUGAGACAGGGCUCCAAGUAACUCAGACUGGCCGUGGACUCAGGACUUUGUGCAUGAUAGAUAAAUGUUCUACCAAUGGAGUUAGCCCCAGAGCCCUCCCUGUGGCUUCUUCAAGACUCGGUUUUGACCCACAUUUUUUUUUCUUUUUUUCUUUUUUUCGGAGCUGGGGAUCGAACCCAGGGCCUUGCGCUUGCUAGGCAAGCGCCCAUAGUAACACUUUUAAUGUAUGUAUGUAUCUGUGUAUAUGUACCUGUAUGUGUAUAUCUGGGUGUGUUUGUGUGUCUGUGUAUGCUGGGUAUCUCUGUAUGUAUCUAUGUGUGUUUGUUUCUGUGUGUGUAUAUGUAUGUGUUGGGUAUCUGUGUGUGUUGGAUAUCUGUGUGUGUAUCUGUGUGUGUGUAUCUGUGUGUGUGAGGUAUCUCUGUGUGUUGGGUAUCUGUGUAUUAGGUAUCUCUGUAUGUAUCUAUGUGUGUUUGUUUCUGUGUGUAUGUAUAUGUGUGUGUUGGGUUUCUGUGUCUGUGUAUCUACUUAUUUGUAGAUUCUGUGUGUUUGUAUCUCCGUGUGUGUAUCUGUGUGUAGGUAUAUGUGUACAUGUGUGAAGGUGCCCAAAAAGGCCAGAAGAGAGUGUUAGUUCUGCAGAAGCUGAAUUACAGAUGCGGAGAACUAAACUUGGGUCCUUCUAGAAAAGCAAUGAGCCUUCUUCUGAGUCAUCUCCCAGCCCCUCGGUGACUGAUAACAUAGAACAGAUAUUCUUUCAGGUAUCGAUUUUAUUUAUGUGUAUAGAUAUGAGCAUGGGUGAACUUACAUGCACACAGGAGGCUACAGAGGCUAGAAGGGGACAUCAGAUCCCCUGGAAUUAGAGUAACAGGCAGUUGUGAGCUGCCGUGUGGGUUAAUCCAGGUUCUCUUUUUUUUUUCUUUUUUUCGGAGCUGGGGACCGAACCCAGGGCCUUGUGCUUGCUAGGCAAGCGCUCUACCACUGAGCUAAAUCCCCAGCCCCCAGGUUCUCUGAAAAAGCAGUAAACACCCUUAACCACUGAGCCAUAUCUCUAGCCCCUAAACUUUGAAGUUUUUAACCUCAAGUGCAGAAUUAAUUAUAUGAAUUAUAUUUAAUAUACAUUUAUAACAAAUAUUAUAAACACCAAUAUAAUAUAUAAUAUAAUAUAUUAUACUUGCACACUAUUACAUACAUAUAAUAUUAACAUUACAUACAUUACAUUUACACUCAUAUUACAUGUGUGUAAUAGUAAUAUUACAUAUAACAUAUGUAACAUAUGCGUAUUAUUACAUAUGUGUAAUAUUAGUACUGACACAAAACAUAUAUUUAUAAUAUAUAUUAUAAUAUAACAUAUAAUGAUACAUAUACACACAUAUUACAUAAGUUACAAAUGCCUAAGGAACGUAUAUAUAAGAAGUACAUA